CCUACGGGUGGCAGCAGUGAGGAAUAUUGGUCAAUGGACGAGAGUCUGAACCAGCCAAGUAGCGUGAAGGAUGACUGCCCUAUGGGUUGUAAACUUCUUUUAUAUGGGAAUAAAACGUUCCACGUGUGGGAUUUUGUAUGUACCAUAUGAAUAAGGAUCGGCUAACUCCGUGCCAGCAGCCGCGGUAAUAAGGAGGAUCCGAGCGUUAUCCGGAUUUAUUGGGUUUAAAGGGAGCGUAGGUGGAUUGUUAAGUCAGUUGUGAAAGUUUGCGGCUCAACCGUAAAAUUGCAGUUGAAACUGGCAGUCUUGAGUACAGUAGAGGUGGGCGGAAUUCGUGGUGUAGCGGUGAAAUGCUUAGAUAUCACGAAGAACUCCGAUUGCGAAGGCAGUUCACUGGACUGCAACUGACACUGAGGCUCGAAAGUGUGGGUAUCAAACAGGAUUAGAUACCCGAGUGUC
rnacentral:rRNA from 1 species